GGAUGGCAUCCAGGUCUCCUUACCUAUCCUGGAGCACAGAAAGAAGAAAACCAGAUGAACAGGAGCCAAACACCCUCUCUUUUCCUCCAGCAAUACCCCACAAUUGUUUGAGGAGGCAGGCAAGGCCAUAGAGUCAUGCAGCUGACCUUGCGGGUGGGCCUCCAACUUCUCCCCUGGCUGGUUAGGAAAAGCCUGCCUGUGACUUUUUCCUCUGCCGGAGUGAGGCUGCCCAGUUUCAAUUUCCCUGCUCUGGGCAGGCUGGAGAGGGCUCCUAGGAGGUGAAGGGGACUACGUAUGCCCCAGGCAGAGAGGUCGCCACAGCUUCCCUGCCUUGUCCCAGCCGAUUGUGCGGCGGAGCAGGCGCGCGGCCACAGCUCUCCCCGCCCCGCCGCGCCGACCCGGACUUAUGGGCAGGCCCCAGACGCCCGAGGCCGGGGGCGCCCCUCGCCUCUUCCUCGGCCUCAGGGACACUUGCGAAACGUGGAUCUAAAGAAAGUCCUU
rnacentral:lncRNA from 10 species